rnacentral:tRNA from 1 species
UCUAAUAUGGCAGAUUAGUGCAAUAGAUUUAAACCCUAUAUAUAAAAGAUAAUUUUUAUUAGAA